rnacentral:misc_RNA from 1 species
AAGUCGUAACAAGGUUUCCGUAGGUGAACCUGCGGAAGGAUCAUUAAUGAAUUCUGAAAGGGGUUGUUGCUGGCCGUCAGCGGCAUGUGCACGCCCUGAUCACUAUCCAUCUCACACACCUGUGCACACACUGUAGGUCGGUUUGUGGCUGGAGUGGGCACUCUGUGUCUGCUUUGGUUGUAGGCCUUCCUAUGUUUUAUUACAAACUACAGUUUAAAGAAUGUCACUCUUGCGUCUAACGCAUUUAAAUACAACUUUCAGCAACGGAUCUCUUGGCUCUC